rnacentral:lncRNA from 1 species
AAUUUAUUAUUUCCUCUUUAUUAACUGCUCCUUGUUGUUCAGAUCAGGCCUCAACAUAAUGAUGUAGCAUUUGGGGGCAAAGAUGGAGCCCAGUAUCCCAGCACUGGAUGCCAAGAUGGAGAAGAUCUCCACAGCCACCAUGUAUUUCCCCUUGGUGCUCAGGUAGACGGGAACAAAGGAAAUCCAAACACUACAAAACAAGAACAUGCUGAAGGUGAUGAAUUUGGCCUCAUUGAAGCUCUCAGGCAAUUUCCUGGCAAAAAAGGCCACUACAAAGCUGAUAAUGGCCAAAAAGCCCAUGUAGCCCAGGACACAGUAAAACAGGGCGACUGACCCUUCGUUGCAGCCUAGAAUGAUUUCUCUCAUCAUUGAGUGCAUGUCAGAAUCAGGGAAUGGGGGAGAGGUUCCUAACCACACAGUGCAAAUGCCCGCUUGGAUAAGGGAACAAGAAAUCACAAUGGAGCUUGACAGGCUUUUCCCCACCCACUUCCUCAUUCUGGAUCCUGGUUUGGUGGCCACAAAGGCUAGAACCACCGUGAUCGUUUUGGCCAGAACACAAGAAACGGUCACUGUGAAAACAAGGCCAAAAGCCAUUUGUCGGAGCAGGCAGCUCACUCUUUCUGGAGGGCUGAGGAAGAUCAAUGGGCAGAGAAAGCAGAGCAGGAGGAAAGUGAGGAGAGUGUAGGUGAGGUCCCGAUUGUUUGCUCUGACAAUGGGUGUGUCCUGAUGUUUAAUGAAGAUGGCUAGGACCACCAUAGUGAUGAGAGAGAGAGAAAGAGCAAACAUUGCUAAGCUCAUCCACAGAGGCUCUUGAACAGAGAGGAAGCUGAUGGUCUUUGGAAUGCAUUGUGAUUGGUUCCCGUGUGGAUAGUGGUCCUUUGGGCAUGCAACACAGUCAACCAUGUCUGGAAAGAAAAUAAUACAUUCACAUUUUGGAUGUGUUGGAGAGCAACUACUAAUACUGCGAGUAUGGAACUCAUAAUGUUAAAUGAGAGUUAUUACAAUUAUUUCCAGGGUAACCAGAUUCAAAGUGAUGCAUCAGAAUCCCACCUCAGAACAUAGUUGUCAACGUUUCCCUUUUUUAAAGGGAAAUUCCCUUAUUCCAAAUAGGAUUCCUCGCAAGAAAAGGGAAAAAUUGACAGCUAUGCCUCAGAACUUUUGUUGGGUUAUGUGGGGUGUGCUGUGAUGGCUUGCUAACUCCACAUAAACCACUUUUUUUUUUGUUCAGAACAGGUACUGUCCAUGACCUUUUUGCACAGGGGUUCCAUUCCCAGCCCCGUUCCACCCCCACACCCUCUGCCGACCCCAUUCCUCCCCACCCUGGUGUGCCAUCGCGCAUCAAUCAUUCGCAUGAUUAUUUGCUAUUGCCUGAACCAAGACAGGUGUCUCCUACCAAGUCAUAUCACUGGUGCAUUUAUUUCAAAAUUGCUUCCUGUAUUUUAACCUGUGACAAAGAUUACAUGAUGAUGACAAACCAAUUCUUUUUAGGAGUGGGUCCCUAAUCCUUUAUGGGGUCUAUCUGCCAACAGGUAUGGAGGAGAAAUUUGGUUUUUAUUCCACUUGAAUGAGAAAGAUAUCUACAGUCAAUCUCACUCUUUGAAUCAUUACACUGGUCAACAACAAAUUUGUUGUCUGCGUUUUUUCAGUUGAUUUAGGAUGAAUGUGAUGCGCUGAAUCCAAAAAUCACAUUGGUUUUGCUCAAUCAGGUCAAGUUUUUGAGCUAUGGCCACAUGUCAUUUUUUAUGUUUUUGUUCACAUGUACGCUUGUGUGGAGCAUUUUAGAAGUUGGUGGGGGUAAAAUGCCAUGUCGAAUAAUUCUUUUGAUUGGAAAUGAUUAUUUUAAUGACAAGAAGUAUUCAGGUCCGAUAGUUCUGGGUGAUUAUGUUGAAAAGGGAUCAAUUUGAAGUCAUAAAACCUCGAAAUCUUCCAUAAAUUGGUGUGGCUCCAUAAAUUGGUGGGAUGAACAGAAAGAACCAGAGCAGCCUCAAGUAUCCUGAUUUUCAAGCAGCACGUCAUCCUGUAGCUCAUUGUGAUGAAAUUCCAGUGCCUAUCUUCGGAGAACUUCCUGACAUUGAUGAUGAAGAUGCCUCCAGUGUUGAAGGACAUGAAGAAGAAGUGGUUCUUCCACAUCCAUUUUCCCAAAAGGAGUUGAAUGAUCUAGUUCACGACCUCAGCUUGUCAAAGGACUCUGCCGAACUGUUGGCAUCCAGACUGAAGGGAAAAAACCUCCUCUCUGACAGUGCUCGCAUCAGCUUCCUCCGCAACAGGCAUCAAGAGUACCUCCGUUUUUUCUCGGAAGAGAAGGACUUGGUGUACUGUGCAGAUAUUGGGCAGCUUCUGCUCAAGCUUGGAGUGCCACAGUAUGAACCCAAAGAUUGGAGACUGUUCAUUGACAGCAGCAAGCAAUCACUGAAAUGUGUUCUGCUACACAACGGCAACCAGUUUGCCUCUAUACCCCUGGCUCACUCGAGUACACUGAAGGAGAACUAUGAAGCGGUGAAGUAUGUGCUGGAGAAAAUUGGUUAUGAUCAGCAUAAGUGGUUUAUUUGUGUUGACCUGAAGAUGGUGAACUUUUUGUUGGGGCAACAGUCUGGCUUCACCAAGUACCCAUGUUUUCUGUGCAUGUGGGAUAGUAGCGACCGUGCUCAGCAUUACACGAAGGACUGGCCUGUGCGGAAGGAAUUGGUGCCUUGCAAAGAAAGGAAUGUCAUCAACGACCCUCUGGUGGAGAGAGACAGAAUACUCUUCCCACCGCUGCACAUCAAGCUCGGCUUAAUCAAGCAGUUCACCAAGGCUCUGGACAAGGAUGGUGACUGCUUCACUUACUUGUGCCAGGCUUUUCCAGGAUUGACCAUGGAGAAGUUGAAAGCUGGCAUCUUUGACGGUCCUCAGAUCCGUCAGCUCAUCAGAGAUCCAGAGUUCAGAAAGUCAAUGAACGAAGUGGAACUGGAAGCGUGGAGGGCAUUUGUUCUGGUAGUGAAGAACUUUCUUGGCAACAAUAAGGCCAGAAACUACGCAGAACUUGUCAGCAACAUGCUGACUGCUAUCAGAAACCUGGGCUGCAACAUGAGCGUCAAGAUGCACUACCCAUUUUCACAUAUAGACCGAUUUCCUGAGAACCUGGGUUCAAUGAAUGACAAGCAGGGGGAGAGAUUCCAUCAGGACAUGAAAGAGAUGGAGACCAGGUAUCAGGGUCGCUGGGACGCAGUCAUGAUGGCUGACUACUGUUGGACUCUGAAGAGAGACCUCCCUGCCACUGAGCAUUCCAGGAGUUCCAAGAAACAGAAGUUCAAGCCCUGAAGUUUGAAAAAUGGUGAAGCAACAUGCAAUUUACGUGUACUUACCUUUAUCAAUGCCCACUAUUCAGUUUACAGUAAACCUGACCUGAUGGAGAGAAAUGGAUGCCAUUUCCUGAUACAGCAGUGCCAAAAUACGCUAAAUCAGUUGUAGAAAUCUAGACAACAUUCAAAAAGUAAAAAAUUGUUACCCAAUGUUAUAUAUCCUGUGUCUCUUACCCUUUUCAGAUGAAAUCUUGCCUUGAGGACAUGGAGCACAACCAUAGCAGCAGAAUGGCUCCCCCUCCUUCUUCUCCUUCCUGGAACCAGGAGGACAACUUGGGUUACACACAGAAAGGGGUGGCACCUGCCCAUUUAAAUAAACAGAUUAACCGUUUAGCACACAAAAGUAAGUAGCGCUUUUGGUUUCUUUUUUCUUCCAGCUGGCAGUAGGAAGACACCAAACUACUUAUUCGAAACACAGUGCCAGGUUACUCAUUUGGCUCUUCAUGUUGUUGUUUUUUAAAAUAAACAUAAAUAAUGUGGAAACUGACCAUGUUUGAGCCCCUUUCUGGCAUUCAGAAAGAAUGCAUGACAGCUGAAAUAGGGAAGGGGAUUGGGGCUUCAUCUUUGCCAGCCCUGCCCCCUUUUCUCCCCAUAUAUAAAGUAAUACCUUUUACACCUCCAAUUUUCCAAUUGCAGCAAUCAUGCUUUGUGAAGAUGACAGAAGCGUAGUGCCAAAAAUGAUCUACAAAUGUGGAGACCUUGUGGAGUGUGGUCUCACCAGCUCUGCCCAUAUUGUUCCCAUAGCUGUUCCACCAGUGAUCUCUGCAUACUAAGCAGAAAGCUCUGACAGGCUGAACACACUGAGAAGCCUCCCUGUGAUUUGGAAUUUUCUGUUCUUAUCUCAGUCCCCAAAUAUGAGAAAGGGGUUCAACCAAAUGUUCUUAGAAGCCCCCUUCACACUCCCUGCCAUGCAUUUUAUCUUAACAGAUGCAUUUUCAAGUGUAUUUUAUGCUACCAGGUGUAUUUUUCAAACCAUUUUGGUCCUUUUUUUGAGCUGAGACUAUACCAGAAGAUCGACAGAAAUGUGAAACCUGAAAGAUAAGCAAUGAUGUUCCUAUAUGUGUACUAGUCUGAGAGGUAUAAAUUUAGCCAGUUUCCAUAAAAUUGUAGACUCCUCCACCCUUGCCUACAGUUCCUUUUUCCUUAGGAUACAAGUGACUAGCAUUAGCACACUUGUUAUUAUUAUGAUUCUUUUAAAAGAACAUGAAUAAUGGUCUUAGGUGUCUCAGUAAAAUUAGGGCUGCCAUGUGUCCGGGAUUUCAAAGGCGGAAGCGGCGUCCUGGGGAAAGUUCUGGAGAGUGGAGGUUUGUUGUGGAUCUUUGGCAAGUAAAAGAAAAAAAUGUGGGAUUUUACUUCCUUCUCAAACACCAGCAUUUCAACUACAAGCAGCAAACCCCUUCUUCUUCCCAAGAGACUCAUGAAAAGCACUUGGAUGAAAAGAACCCCAAGUCAAAAGCCACAUGCCAUAUCCAGAUGCUGGACAAGAUUGGCAAAUGGUGAGAUCCUACAGUGGUUGGGCAUUGAUCUGAGCCAGCAAGAUCUUAUGUUGUGAUUCCUGCAUCGUGGACCACAUGAUUUGCAACUCUAAGAUUCUAUUACAGUGGUACCUUGGGUUACAUACGCUUCAGGUUACAUACGCUUCAGGUUACAGACUCCACUAACCCAGAAAUAGUGCUUCAGGUUAAGAACUUUGCUUCAGGAUGAGAACAGAAAUCAUGCUCUUGCGGCGUGGCAGCAGCAAGAGGCCCCAUUGGCUAAAGUGGUGCUUCAGGUUAAGAACAGUUUCAGGUUCAGAACGGAUCUCCAGAACGAAUUAAGUACUUAACCUGAGGUACCACUGUAUUCUUACACAGUGCAGAGAAAAAAAUGUUUAGAAUCUGGCUGGAAAGGCAGGUAUGUGCUGGACUGAUGAUCUGUACGUAGAAUAACAUUCUCUUUACCCAUCUCUCAUAGAUGUGGGAAUUAUGCCUCACCUGGUGAAAGCUUCUGUGCCACACCAUUCUGUUGUCAUCAAGGGUGAAUGGCUGGUCAGGUGUAGCCUCCACACCAACCCUUCCAACCUUCACCUUCAUGAAGGAGUUAUUUGGAAAAGUGACCAGGUUGGUGAUAUCAAAGCCAGCUUCUACUUCCCUGUUCUUACUAAAAGAUACUGUUUCCCCAGCAGAGUUGUUAAAGGAGACACUCCUAAGAAAGGGAUGGAGCUGCAUUGAAAGAAAAAGAGUAACUUUGAAGCAAUGCAAAUGUCUCUCCUUUUUCACAUUCAGGAUGCCUACAGACUGUCAACACAGGGAGGUAGUGCCAUGCAAAUAUAAUCUGUUUUCUGAGAAAUGGUUUGUAGGGCGAGCAUUCACAUAUUGAGCCAAUGAUCUCCAUUGUUUCCUAUGGGGAAAAUCCCAAUGCAUGACUGACCAUGCUUGGACAUCUACACACACACACACACACACACACACACACACACACACACACACUGCCCAACUAGCCUCAUAUAACCUUCAUUCUUGUGUCUAACAAAUACAUAAAGGGCUUAAUGUCGUUAGAAAAAGGUGUUCUGACAGACUUGGCCUAUGUCCCAGCCCCUUAUCUUGGGAAGAAAUGGGCAACAAAGCCUAUUGUUCUGCUCACUCUAUAUGUGAAUUUUGUGCGUGGGGAGUUCUGAACUGCUCCCUACAGCCACAUGGAAUUAAGAAGCCUGUUUAUUUCAGACAAGAAUGUAAUCUGAAACUACCAUUUUCUAUACCAAUAGAAAGAUUAGGAACUUUUACCAUUUUGUCUUCUACUUCUGCAACAUUUUUAUGAGUGUUGUGUUCCGAAAAACUGUUGAACUUUAAAGAGUUUUGUAAGCAAGCCAUGUUACGACCUGCUAAGCUUGUGAUCUAUUUUUGUGCUAGGAAAGUGGGAUUUUCUGGAAUUCACUGGAAAGGGCAUAUUUUAAGGUUUUACAUCCUGUAUUUCCAUGCUUCUGUUUGCUGCAUGUUUACCCAUGCACACAAAGGAAGUUGCUCACAAAAAAACUGGAGAGUGCAGGAUUGGAUCUGCCUGCUAAACAGCUGUAAGCAGAACAGUCUGAUUCUUCACUGAGCUGGUCCUGAAUGAACAGCUUCUCUGCACACAACUGGAGAAUGUGGAGCUUAAAAUGUUUCAGGGUAAUAAAUGAUAUCUCAUGACACACAUUACCUGCCAAGGCUGAAACUCCUGCAUCUCUCUUUCCACCAUUCUCCUAUAUUUGGCUACAGGCAGGAACAUGACAUGUAGAGCAUGUGCUAUGGCAUAGACAGCAGUAUAGAGACUGUAGCUGUGGCCAGACAUGGUCAUCUCAAAAGUAGACGAAGGGAGAUUCUCCAGCUUCUCCUCUCCAGUGCAGGUUCCACUGGCCUGCUCCUCUGUAUUGGAGUUUGGAAAUAAACAGAGAAAUACCUGUGCCCAGAACUGCUUGACAAAGCCAUUUCCAUUUGCCUCAAAAGGAUUCUGUGCCUGAAGAAAGGCUUUGAAUCCUUGUACCACAUUUGAAUGAACUGAAAAGGAGAGGGAACCCUGGGAGGUUUGCAUAUCCAGGCUCAUUCGCAAGGGCGGUGCUGUGAAAUCCAGUUGUGCCGUCAAAAUCCACACUUUGCCAUCAGAUGUCUUAGUCACAUUUUCCAUUUCACCUAGUACUAUCAUUGUCUGCAAGGCAAGUAUGGACUUUGUUCCUCCAUAGACAACCACCACCUUGGCUUUACUUUCCAUAAUAGCUUGAUAAAUUUGGAUCCAGAGGGGAAACAUGUCAUAAUACUCAGCCAAAUAUGCCAUGUUCAGGGUUGUCUCUGAGAAGGCCAAGCAAAUGCCUUUCUGGGAGAGAAGAGGUUUCAGGGUCUGAAUAAAUCUCUCUCCACCUUCACUUUCUCUAGCAAGCAAUCCAACCCACGUCCAACCAAAGUGCAGAAGUAACUCAACAAUCCCAGUGUACUGAUGGGCUUCAUUGGGCACCAUCUUGUAGAAGGAAGUGGAUUGGCUUUGACCACCAUCCUCUGGAGAAAAGGAGCCAUAAGUGAGCUAAAAGGAAAUAAAGGAGCAUCAUCUACAAUUGCAGAAGGACUGGGUAUGUGCGCCCCGGACCUGCCCACCCAGGAGGCAAAAUGAGCCAGUUGCCUUAAGAAGGCAGGUUCCGCAAAGCUGGGAGGAGUGGCAGAUUGCACCCUGUGUUUCUCAGCUUCCACCUCCUUUUCUGCCAUUCCUCCAUGCCCAAUUUUCUGCACUCCUGCUUUCCUCUGCAACCUCUGCCUUUUCUUUCUCCACUUUUUCCUCUAUGCCUUCCUAAUCUGCUGCUUUCCUCUCCCCUGUAUUUUCCACUUUGCUUCACCGCAGCAUUUCAGCUGCUGAUUUCAUGGCGUCUUCCCUUCCCUUCCCUUCCCUUCCCUUCCCUUCUCUUCCCUUCCUCUCUCAGACUACUAACACACAGAACCCCCAUCAAGUGACACAAUGUGUGUGCAGCUGACUCCUGAUAGACAGGCUUCCAGCUUUGCAAGGGAGCAGCUUCAGUCUCCAACCAGUAGGCCAUGGAGCAAACGUGAGAGGUUGUCAGUUGGCAGAAUGGAAUUGGGAUACAUGUUUUUAGGUGUGUAUGGACAAGGAACGGGGGUGAGAUGAGAACUCUUCUGUCAUCACCUUACCUUGUGAAGGGCAGGAUCUCUCUCCUUCAUCUCUCACAACUAUUUCUCUAUUAUACAAAUCCUUUCUUGAAAUGCCCUACGCAACAUCUUACCUGGGGAAUCUUGUAGAUGCCCAAGAUGUUUGCCAGGUAGACGGAGAUAUCCAAGUCCAGUCCCCCAAUAACUGCCGCCAGGUGUUUCUGGUUGUUGCACUUGUAGUUGGGGACAAGUGUGGAGAGAAGGUUCAGAGCAGCCCAGUAGGUCAUCCUUUCAUCGAAGUAACUGUCAUAGAUGUGGAAUCCCAGUGUAAUAUUAGGCAAGAUCUUAGGGUUCUCAUUGAUCUCCUGGACAGCAAAUACCAAGGCCAGAAUAUGCUGGUAGUUCUUUGGCACAAUACUGCAACAAGAAUUUUAUGCUGUAUCAUUGAGAGAUAUACUAUGCAUGUUGUUCAGGGGGCUCUUGAUAAUUUUGCCCUAAAUUACACAUACCUGCAGAACAAUUUCAACUAAAAGAGCAGAAUUUCAGCUUAAUGUAGGACUCAUUCAGACUUCCCCACUCCUGUCAUUUUUCUGCAGGAAAAUCAGAUCUUUACCACUCAAUUGGAACUCAAACCUCCCUCAUAACGACUCCCAAAUGACAGUUAACUGACAUUUAUUCACAGAUCACUACCUUCAGCUCAAUAUAGUCAGAAUGUAUCUAAUCCAUGCCCUGUCUAUAACUGUUAAAGACAAUCGUCUAGCCUGACUUGGAUGAGAACAUCAGGGGUUAUUUGAGCAUCACCUCAAAGGAGAGGUGAGCCUUGUGUAAGACACUUCAAACGAGAGUUUCUGUGGUGAAGAUUAAGGAGAGAGAAGGGCUUUCCAUCUUAAACUAGGGAGGUUUAAUCUUUGAGUCCUCCUCUUGUUAAACUCCUUGGAAGACAUUUGGUGGGAUGUGGGGAAGAGAGAACACAUCAACAAGACCAGGCUCUCUCAUCUCACUGACACAUUCAGAUCUGCAUUUCCCUUCAGUGGAAGUAAAUCCCACUGAAAUCAGGGGAACUAGCUUCUGAGGAGGCUUGGUUAGAGCUGGGGGAUAUUUCAGUAUCAUCUGAUUAUUUGACAUUUGAUGUCUUUACUGGGUAUUAAGGCGCUGAUGGAUAGUUAGCCUUUCUUUGAAUUCUUCUUUGUCAAAAACAGCAAAGAGAUGAGAAGCAAGUCCGCCAACAAUAAGAUGACCAGGUUGGUAGUAUUCAUGUGGAAUUCUGGACAGAUCAUGGAUGGUGCAACUCAUGGUAUGUUUGACCUGCAAAUGUGGCAGAUGAAAGAGAAGGGGCAGAAUAAACAGCAGCAUAUUGAAGCACCUAUUCUUUCCCAUCAAACAGCCUUAUUUCCAUCCAGCACAUGAACUUUGCUUCACAACCAAUCUCAGUACAAUAUUCUGCCUUGUCACCAAAGACACUUCUCUAAAAAUUCACAGAUUAAAAUCCUAUUUUAUAACUUGAUUAAGAGAAAGGUGAAAAUCCUUCCUCUUUCUCUGUCCUCUCGCUUGCUUAGAAUGCCAGGAAGAGGUUACAAUACCCAUGUUUUGAUAUUGGUUAGUAUUCUCUGGAAAUCUACUGAGACAUUAUCCAAGGGAGACUUAGCCACGCUGAGAGUGAUGAUUAUAGGUGAGAUAAUAACAAGCUCUCUUUACAUCAGGAACAUCAGAAAAUGUUCAAACAUAAUAAUAACAACCCUGUUUCUGAUGUUUCAUUCAAAGUUCUUUCUGACUGUUUAUGGGACAAAAAAAGGCCAUGCAGAAUUAACAGCAAUGAGAAAUUCAGUGGGCCAGUCUCCUACCAAUGUUGACCAGUGAAAAUGAUUAAUCUGACCUCCUAAAGUUUCCCACCUGAGCACCACUUCAUUAGUUUUCUGACAAUUAUACCGAGACGAAAGAAUGGUGAAAAGGACAACUAUUUGUGUUCCUGAUAGAAAUUAUAAGAAUAAGAAUAAGAAUAAGAAUAAGAAUAAGAAUAAGAAUAAGAAUAUAUUAUUUAUACCCCACCCACUCUGUGUGGCUUCCAACAGAAUAUUAAAAUACAAUAAUCUAUUAAACAUUUAAAGCUUCCCUAAACAGGGCUGCCUUCAGAUGUCUUCUAAAAGUCUGGUAGUUGUUUUUCUCUUUGACAUCUGAUGGGAGGGCAUUCCACAGGGCGGGUACCACUACCAAGAAGGCUCUCUGCCUGGUUCCCUGUAGCUUUGUUUCUCACAGUGAGGGAACUGCCAGAAGGCCCGCAGAGCUGGACCUCAGUGUCCGGGCAGAACGAUGGGAGUGGAGACGUUUCUUCAGGUAUUUUGGACGGAUGCCCUUUAGGACUUUAAAGGUCAGCACCAACACUUUGAAUUGUGCUCGGAAACGUACUGGGAGCCAGUGUAGGUCUUUCAAGAACUGUGUUAUGUGGUCUCGGCGGCCGCUCCCAGUCACCAGUCUAGCUGCUGCAUUCUGGAUUAGUUGUAGUUUUUAGGUCACCUUCAACGCAUGAGGGAAGAGAACAAAACCCUGAGGCACCCCACAAGUGUAAGACCAGGGGUCUGAACACUCACCUCCCCCCCCCCCACUUUCUGAACACAGCCCAGGAGGAAGGAGGGAACCACUGUAUAACAGUGCCCCCAACUCCCAGCCCCUCUAGACGGUCCAGAAGGAUGUUAUGGUCGAUGGUGUCAAAAGCCACUGAGAGAUCCAGCAGAACUAGGAAACAGCUCUCACCUUUGUCCCUAGCCCGUCGGAGAUCAUGGACCAGUGCACCCUAGGCAGUUUCAGUCCCAUGAUGAGGCCUGAAUCCCGACUGGAAGGGAUCCAAAUGGUUCGCUUCUUCCAGGCGUGCCUGGAGUUGUUCAGCAACCACUCGCUCAAUCACCUUGCCCAAGAAUGGAAGAUUUGAGACUGGGCGAUAGUUGGCUAUAUUGGCAGCAUCUAAAGAUGGUUUUUAAAGAAGCAGUUUGAUAACCGCCUCUUUCAGCGGGUCUGGGAAGGCUCCCUCACAGAGAGUAGCAUUCACCACCCCACGAAGCCCAUCACCCAGCCCUUCCCGCCUAGCUUUUAUAAGCCAAGACGGGCAGGGAUCAAGGAGACAGGUGGUCAGUUUCACUCGUCCAAACAGCCUGUCCACAUCCUUGGAGGAAAAGCACCUCACAACUGGUUGGUGGGACAGUAUAUAGAAGUAAUAAAUAAAAAGUAGUGUGUGGUGGUAUUAUAUUUACUAAUAAAAUGGAGCUUAAUUUCACUCAUGUUCAAAAUGCUUUUACUCCAAAAUAUUCAUUCAGAUGCAUUCUGCCCCAUUUAUUAACAAUAAACCCAUUUAAAAAAACCAAAAUUGUUAUGCAUUGAAUUUUAAGUUUAAAAAUCCCCACGAGAAAUGGUCUAGUGCAUAUUGCCCAUGACUACAGGAAUAAUAACCAAAUAAUUUAAUUAAUACCCAGAAAUGGAUCGAGAGAGCUUGAGAGUUCUCAUGGCCUGUGAGGGCAGAGACUGGAGGUGCAGCAGGGGGUUGUUUACACUACUCAGCCCCCCCCCCACCUGACAGCUAAUGUGCAUAGAAGAGCAGCAGAAGCAGCAACUUUCCCCACACAUCCCACACUCAGCCCCCAAAAUGCCAGAUGUGGGUAUUUUAGGUGCAGUAUUUUUGAUCUGGAAUGGAGAGAGAGCAGCAGAGAAGACAUUCAAAGGGUUUUAGAGGGUGCUCCCCACUUACCCAAUCUUCAUUUAUGUGUGGGGGCACUUGAACAUAACCCCCAAGUAAGUGGGAUUCGCUGUACUGAAAUCUCUGACACUAAUCAUGACAGUAGCAACUCGACAGAAACUUUACUGAGAGGAAAAAAUCUAGAAAGGAAUGAGACUUUUAAAUAAUAAUAAUAAUGCCUCUCAAUGUAUUAUUUUUUCUGUUCAGUUUCUAAGCAAUUACCCUCUGAGGUUCUAGUCAGGUCUCAAUAUUUUAUGGUACUGAUGGCAGUUUUUUGGUUUCCAAAUAAUGCUUAAGGUUAAAACAAGAUAAGGGGCUCCUGUUUCAGAGAGACCAUAUUUUGGUUUUAAAAGAAAUUGCACAUAACAAUUGUAACAUGUAAAAUAUAACACAAUUUAAUGGUGCGAAUAAAGAGAGAUUACAUUGCUCAUAUUUUGGUAGGAAAACCCCCACAAAGAUGAAAAGAUAAUUCAUUAUUUCCGCUUUAUUAACUGCUCCUUGCUGUUCAGUUCAGGCCUCAACACAAUGAUGUAGCAUUUGGGGGCAAAGAUGGAACCAAGUAAACCAGCACUGGAGGCCAAGAUGGAGAAGAUCUCCACAGCCACCAUGUAUUUCCCCUUGGUGCUCAGGUAGACCGGAACAAAGGAGAUCCAAACACUACAAAACAAGAACAUGCUGAAGGUGAUGAAUUUGGCCUCAUUGAAGCUCUCAGGCAGUUUCCUGGCAAAAAAGGCCACAACAAAGCUGACAAUGGCCAAAAAGCCCAUGUAGCCCAGGACACAGUAAAAUAGGGCAACUGACCCUUCGUUGCAGCCUAGAAUGAUUUCCCUCAUCACAGAGUGC